AUUGAACGCUGGCGGCAGGCCUAACACAUGCAAGUCGAGCGAGAGGAGGACGGGUGAGUAAUGUAUGGGGACUGCCCGAUAGAGGGGGAUAACUACUGGACACGGUGGCUAAUACCGCAUCAUAUCGGAUAACCCAUAUGGGAUUGGCUAGUAGGUGGGGUAAAGGCUAACCUAGGCGACGUUCUCUAGCUGGUCUGAGAGGAUGUUGAGCCAAACGGGGACUGAGACACGGCCCAGACUCAUACGGAGGCAGCAGUGGGGAAUAAUGCACAAUGGGCGCAAGCCUGAUGCAGCCAAGCCGCGUGUAUGAAGAGGGCCUUCGGGUUGUAAAGUACUUGCAGUCGGGAGGCGUUACCGACAGAAGAAGCACCGGCUAACUCCGUGCCAGCAGCCGCGGGAAUUC
rnacentral:rRNA from 1 species